AAGUCGUAACAAGGUUUCCGUAGGUCAACCUGCGGAAGGAUCAUUACCAAAUCGUGCUGUAGUGCUUUGGCACUGCAGACAUUAGUGCUUGCACCGUGGUGCAUUGCAUAAACGCUUUAUUGUUUUAUAAUCUAGUGUAUUUCUAAUCAAAAAACACUUUUAACAAUGGAUCUCUAGGCUCUU
rnacentral:misc_RNA from 1 species